rnacentral:rRNA from 1 species
GCCGCAAGGCAACCGGCGAACGAGGUAGUAAUAAGUAGGUACGAACCUUCAAGUCAAGCAUAGCUCGUCGAAAGACGGGGUAAUUCUUGAUAGUCCCUUUGGGGUAAAGAUUUAUCGCUUGAAGAUCGGCCUGCUCGGUAUCAGCUAGUUGGAGAGGUAAAAGCUCACCAAGGCAAUGACGCCUAGGGGACCUGAGAGGGUGACCCCCACCGAUGGAACUGAGACACGGUCCAUACACCUACGGGUGGCCGCAGUCGAGAAUCUUCCGCAAUGGACGAAAGUCUGACGGAGCGACGCCGCGUGCAGGAUGAAGUCCUUCGGGAUGUAAACUGCUUUUAUAGGGGAGGAAGUUUAUUGACGUUACCCUAAGAAUAAGAGGUUGCUAAACUCGUGCCAGCAGCAGCGGUAAUACGAGUGCCUCAAGCGUUAUCCGGAAUCAUUGGGCGUAAAGGGUUUGUAGGUGGUCUUGUUAGUCUCCCGUUAAAUUUCCCGGCUUAACCGGGAACAUGCGGGGGAAAUGGCAAGACUAGAGGAUGCAAGGGGUCUGCGGAACUCAUAGUGUAGCGGUGAAAUGCGUUGAUAUUAUGGGGAACACCAAAAGCGAAGGCAGCAGACUGGGGCACUCCUGACACUGAAAAACGAAAGCGUGGGUAGCGAAUGGGAUUAGAUACCCCAGUAGUCCACGCCCUAAACGAUCUUCUCUAGCUAUUUGGAGUAUCGACCCUCUGA